rnacentral:rRNA from 1 species
GACGAACGCUGGCGGCGUGCUUAACACAUGCAAGUCGAACGGAAAGGCCCUGCUUUUGUGGGGUGCUCGAGUGGCGAACGGGUGAGUAACACGUGAGUAACCUGCCCUUGACUUUGGGAUAACUUCAGGAAACUGGGGCUAAUACCGGAUAGGAGCUCCUGCUGCAUGGUGGGGGUUGGAAAGUUUCGGCGGUUGGGGAUGGACUCGCGGCUUAUCAGCUUGUUGGUGGGGUAGUGGCUUACCAAGGCUUUGACGGGUAGCCGGCCUGAGAGGGUGACCGGCCACAUUGGGACUGAGAUACGGCCCAGACUCCUACGGGAGGCAGUAGUGGGGAAUAUUGCACAAUGGGCGGAAGCCUGAUGCAGCAACGCCGCGUGCGGGAUGACGGCCUUCGGGUUGUAAACCGCUUUCGCCUGUGACGAAGCGUGAGUGACGGUAAUGGGUAAAGAAGCACCGGCUAACAACGUG